rnacentral:lncRNA from 1 species
UGUAUACCAGCGUGUGAUCGUGGUGGACACCUUCAAGCUCUUCAUACUCAGCUGCGUCCAAUUCCCGAAGGUCAUUUGGCUCAAAAAACUUAGGGAGGACAUGCUGCCUGAUAAGAAUCAUAAGGAAGAAUGGCAGAGGGAACAGGAUCCCUGCUAUUGGUAUCCAUGUUAUGCCGAAGCAUAUCAAGAGCAAGUUACUCAGUCUCUGCUCAUUCACUCGAACGGGCAAAUGGGCUUCUAUAUUUCACCAACCUGCCCCUUAAGGACAGCAAGACUUCUUGUAUGCAUCGGAGACUGA